rnacentral:rRNA from 1 species
AUGGGGAACUUCCGCAAGCUCGGCCGUCACGCCGCCCACCGCGUCUCCAUGCUCAGGACGAUGGUGUCGCAGCUGGUGAAGCACGAGCGGAUCGAGACCACCGUCGCCAAGGCGAAGGAGGUGCGGCGGAAGGCGGAUCAGAUGGUGCAGCUCGGCAAAUAUGGUACACUAGAUGCAGCAAGACGUGCCUCGGCAUUUGUUCGGGGGAUCGAGCUGGUGGGUAUACAAGACUAUUGUGAACCAGGAUACGAAUUGGCGAUGCUGCACCAAUGGCUUACAUCGAGUUUGUCGACCGGGAGAAUGAACUUCGAGAGGCCAAACCUGCGACUCCACCGCCUCCCCAGCGUGCCCCUCUUGAUGCAUGGACCAAGUCCUGUGCCAGCCAACAGUGGGCAGGGCCUAAAGUUAGCCAGAACUCUAAAACAGAAGGGCUAUGAGAACCAAAAGCAUCGUUUAUCUUUAUUUUAUGUUUGUGAGGUUUUUUUUAUCUUUAGACAUGCUAAUUAG